CCAAAUGUACACAUGAGAUGGGUGUGUUUUAAUACGCAAAUUAUACCUUAAUAAAAUUGAUUUUUUUUAUGAUUGUACAUCAAUGGGGGUUUUCAUUGGAAUAAAAGAAACCGUCUUUGGAGGGUCUUUCAGUUUCUGGGUAUGAAUUUGAACUGGACUGUGGAAUGUUCCGGCAUCACUGGUGAGGUCAGAGAAGCCUGUCUGCUGGUGACAGUUUGAAUCCUAACAGUCAUAACGGUGCAGUGGGCACAGACAGUGCUGCCAAUGUUGCCAAUUCAGUGAAAACGCGGAGGUCUCAAAGCACCGGGGGGGGCUUUGACUUACUCUCUUCUACCUGGGUCAAUCACAGCAGUUCCCUGGGAAGCAAGAUCUGCCUGGCUACGUGGACAAGGGGAUCGAGUCUCCAGCCGCUUCUCCAGGAGCCCCUUGGUGCUGUUGCUGGCCCUGAGAACCAAACGUCCUACUGAAUGGUGCAGGGUCAAAAUGGAAGCGUUGAGGAAAUCCGAGGGAGGCGAGGUGGUGUGAGUUGGGCCGUGGAAAGGGCUUCAGCAGCAAAGAGCUGUAAGCCAAGAGGCGAGAUUCAGAUGAGAAGGACACGCCUGGAAGAGGACAGAUUUUCAUCUGAUUGUACUGAGUACGGACCAAACGGGAGAGGUUGGAGCUCUCUCCAGUCUCCAGGAACGUGGCAGGAACCCUCGCCACUAAGACACACGGAAGGAAUGAGGUCUGAGUACUAAGAAUGUGCAUCCUGACCUCCUCGCACACGCAUUGGCCAUCCAACAGGAAAACUGCAGUGAGUGAGGUCCCCAGCCGUAGCCCCAGGCAAAGGGACAGGUUCACUCAGCCUCAGCCUGGACCUCACUGGCUUUUCACAGGAAUCAGAGUGCCCUCCUGGCCCCCAAGCCAUGUUAUGGCCAAUUGUCGCUGGAAACAAGGCCUCUACCAGCUUCUGGGUGUUCAGAGGCCAAGGAAGGUCCAGUUUUCAUAAAGCCCUGGAUUUCUCUUGGCUUCUCUACACUCAGAGCUUGCGUCUGGAAAAGAAAGCUCAUUCUCUGAUCAGCUACCAUGUGGUUUCUUUGUACAAAUAAACUGCUGAAGGAAUGUGCCCAGCACGUGGCCUUUUGGCCUCCGAGCAGUGUUUAGCCUGGGCUGUCCCUGCCCUCAGAACCACACUCCCCAAGGAUAUUGAGUUCCCUUCUCAUGAAUCUCGCGCUCUCAGGACCCGGCACAGAGGGUCUCUCUGCCUGCGCAGCCUCAGCCCCAGUUCACAUCCUGUCCACUUCUAGCCCAAACACGGCCUCCUGACGCCACAGCUUUGCCUGUUGGCUUGGGUCCCACUCAGCCUGUUCUUCUGUGACCCCUCCCACUCCAGGGGCAUGAGGCGAGGGGGCAGGCUCUGACUUCUGGCUGUCUGCCAGCUGAUCUAUCUUCAAGUAGAAAUCAAGAUGCCAAAGCUCUUCCUAAGCCAGUGUUGCGUGCACAUUUCAAGCCCCAUGCUGCAUCCUGACCACGGUCUUCUCUUUUCC